rnacentral:rRNA from 1 species
UACGAAGGGUGCAAACGUUGCUCGGAAUUAUUGGGCGUAAAGCGCACGUAGGCGGCUUAGCAAGUCGGAAGUGAAAGCCCUCGGCUCAACCAAGGAAGUGCUUUCGAAACUGCUGAGCUUGAGUACUUAAGAGGAUCGCGGAAUUCCGGGUGUAGCGGUGGAAUGCGUAGAGAUCCGGAAGAACACCGGUGGCGAAGGCGGCCUGCUGGGCAGUUUUGCUGACACUGAGGCGCGACAGCGUGGGGAGCAAACAGG